GCACAGGCAAAUAAUUGUAAAAACUUUUAUUUUUGCUAUUUAGACUAUUUUAUCAAAUAGAAGAUGGUAACUGUUUAUUUGAGAUGCAUGCUAAUUUCAUAGAUGGUAACGAGAAAGAUGGCCAAUGGUGACUGUAAGAAACUAUUGAUCGAAAAUUGAAAGAUGGGUCCUCUUUCAAAGAUGUUAAAAUAUGAUAAAAUAUCUUAGAAUCAAUAAUAUUUCUCAUAUAUUCACAUAAAUACUGGUUUCUGAUAUUACAGAUCAGCAGGAGCAAUGUGGAUUGUACCCAAAAAAAUUUGAAAGCCACUAUCAU
rnacentral:lncRNA from 1 species